CCUACGGGCGGCAGCAGUGAGGAAUAUUGGGCAAUGGACGCGAGCCUGACCCAGCCAAGUAGCGUGAAGGAUGACUGCCCUCCGGUUUGUAAACUUCUUUUAUAAAGGAGUAAAAUGAGGCACGUGUGCCUUUUUGUAUGUACUUUAUGAAUAAGGAUCGGCUAACUCCGUGCCAGCGGCCGCGGUAAUACGGAGGAACAGAGAGUUAUCCGGAUUUAUUGGGUUUAAAGGGAGCGUAGAGGGGUUGUUACGUCAGUUGUGAAAGUUUGCGGCUCAACCGUAAAAUUGCAAUUGAUACUGGCAGUCUUGAGUACAGUUGAGGUAGGCGGAAUUCGUGGUGUAGCGGUGAAAUGCUUAGAUAUCACGAAGAACUCCGAUUGCGAAGGCAGCUUACUAAACUGCCACUGACAUUGAUGCUCGAAAGUGUGGGUAGCAAACAGGAUUAGAUACCCUUGUAGUC
rnacentral:rRNA from 1 species